rnacentral:lncRNA from 1 species
AAUUAAAUGCAGUAUCCGGAUUGGAUGCAUUCAGUAUGUACAUAUCAUAAGUCCAGGGAAGGCUGCUCAACUACCAUUAUCCAGCAACGGAGAGAAUGAUGUGUGCACCUGAGGAAAGCAACUAAUGUAAAAUUCAUGGACUUUAUUAUGGGAAAAAAUCGAUUAGCUUGAUAAAUGCAUUACCACCUGCUUCACUCAAGUUACGGGCCUGGACUCCAGAUUUUGAGCACUGCUUGCAGGAGAAACUCAAAAAGAUCUUAUUUCUUUUCUGACCACUGAAGGGUCAGGAAUGCACCGUGUUGCAUCUUCUCAGUGACAAUGCUACCUCCGCUAAUGUACGUCUGACUGGAGCCUAUUGGAGUGUUCUGUUACUACAAGUCCAGCAGGUGGCAGGGGUGACUAAUUGUUUAAAGAAAGCACUUAGAAUUAAAAACAAAAUC